UACGUAGGGGGCAAGCGUUAUCCGGAUUUACUGGGUGUAAAGGGAGCGUAGGCGGUGCAGCAAGUCAGAAGUGAAAGCCCGGGGCUCAACUCCGGGACUGCUUUUGAAACUGUUGAACUAGAUUGCAGGAGAGGUAAGUGGAAUUCCUAGUGUAGCGGUGAAAUGCGUAGAUAUUAGGAGGAACACCAGUGGCGAAGGCGGCUUACUGGACUGUAAAUGACGCUGAGGCUCGAAAGCGUGGGUAGCAAACAGG
rnacentral:rRNA from 1 species